UACGUAGGGCGCAAGCGUUAUCCGGAAUUAUUGGGCGUAAAGAGCUCGUAGGCGGUUUGUCGCGUCUGCCGUGAAAGUCCGGGGCUCAACUCCGGAUCUGCGGUGGGUACGGGCAGACUAGAGUGCAGUAGGGGAGACUGGAAUUCCUGGUGUAGCGGUGAAAUGCGCAGAUAUCAGGAGGAACACCGAUGGCGAAGGCAGGUCUCUGGGCUGUAACUGACGCUGAGGAGCGAAAGCAUGGGGGGCGAACAGG
rnacentral:rRNA from 1 species